rnacentral:rRNA from 1 species
CCUACGGGUGGCUGCAGUGAGGAAUAUUGGUCAAUGGGCGCUAGCCUGAACCAGCCAAGUCGCGUGAAGGAUGACUGCUCUAUGGGUUGUAAACUUCUUUUAUAUGGGAGUAAACUGCAGUAUGUAUACUGCUCUGCAUGUACCUUAUGAAUAAGGAUCGGCUAACUCCGUGCCAGCAGCCGCGGUAAUACGGAGGAUCCGAGCGUUAUCCGGAUUUAUUGGGUUUAAAGGGAGCGUAGGCGGGUUGAUAAGUCAGUGGUGAAAGUUUGUGGCUCAACUGUAGAAUUGCAGUUGAUACUGGCAGACUAGAGUACAGUUGCGGUAGGCGGAAUUCGUGGGGUAGCGGUGAAAUGCUUAGAGAUCACGAAGAACACCGAUUGCGAAGGCAGCCUGCUGAACUGUAACUGACGUUGAUGCACGAAAGUGUGGGUAUCAAACAGGAUUAGAUACCCGAGUAGUC